UGAGGAAUAUUGGUCAAUGGGCGAGAGCCUGAACCAGCCAAGUAGCGUGCAGGAUGACGGCCCUAUGGGUUGUAAACUGCUUUUAUGUGGGGAUAAAGUGCGUGACGUGUCAUGCAUUGCAGGUACCACAUGAAUAAGGACCGGCUAAUUCCGUGCCAGCAGCCGCGGUAAUACGGAAGGUCCGGGCGUCAUCCGGAUUUAUUGGGUUUAAAGGGAGCGUAGGCUGUCUAUUAAGCGUGUUGUGAAAUUUACCGGCUCAACCGGUGGCUUGCAGCGCGAACUGGUCGACUUGAGUAUGCAGGAAGUAGGCGGAAUUCAUGGUGUAGCGGAGAAAUGCUUAGAUAUCAUGACGAACUCCGAUUGCGCAGGCAGCUUACUGUAGCAUAACUGACGCUGAUGCUCGAAAGUGCGGGUAUCAAACAGG
rnacentral:rRNA from 1 species